UGGGGAAUAUUGCGCAAUGGGGGAAACCCUGACGCAGCGACGCCGCGUGCGGGAUGAAGGCCUUCGGGUUGUAAACCGCUUUUGAUUGGGAGCAAGCUUUCGGGUGAGUGUACCUUUCGAAUAAGCGCCGGCUAACUACGUGCCAGCAGCCGCGGUAAUACGUAGGGCGCAAGCGUUAUCCGGAAUUAUUGGGCGUAAAGAGCUUGUAGGCGGUUCGUCGCGUCUGGUGUGAAUGCCCAUCGCUUAACGGUGGGUUUGCGCCGGGUACGGGCGGGCUAGCGUGCGGUAGGGGAGACUGGAAUUCCCGGUGUAACGGUGGAAUGUGUAGAUAUCGGGAAGAACACCAAUGGCGAAGGCAGGUCUCUGGGCUGUUACUGACGCUGAGAAGCGAAAGCGUGGGGAGCGAACAGG
rnacentral:rRNA from 1 species